UUAAAUAGCUGCAGUAUACUGACUGUACAAAGGUAGCAUAAUCAUUAGUUUUUUAAUUGAAAGCUGGAAUGAAAGGUUGGACGAGAAAAUAACUGUCUCUAGUAAAAUUUAUUAGAAUUUUAUUUUUAAGUUAAAAAGCUUAAAUUGUUUUAAAAGACGAGAAGACCCUAUAGAGUUUUAUAUUAAAAUAAUUAAAUUAUUAAUUUGUUUUAUAAAAGUAUUUAAUUAUGUAAUAUUUGGUUGGGGUGAUUUUAAAAUUUAAAAAACUUUUUAUUAUUAUUAACAUUAAUAAAUGAAUUAAUUGAUCCAUAUAUUUAUGAUUAAAAGAUUAAAUUACCUUAGGGAUAACAGCGUAAUUUUUUUUUAGAGUUCUAAUCGAUAAAAAAGUUUGCGACCUCGAUGUUGGAUUAAAAUAAAUUUUUGGUGUAGGAGCUAAAAUAUUAAGUCUGUUCGACUUUUAAAAUUUUACAUGAUCUGAGUUUAAACCGGUGUGAGCCAGGUUGGUUUCUAUCUUUAAGUUAAUAUUGAUAUAUUUUAGUACGAAAGGACCAAAUAUACAAAAAAUUUUUAUUUUAAGAUGAAUAUUAGUAAUUU
rnacentral:rRNA from 1 species